UCCCUGGUGGCUCAGCUGGUAAAGAAUCUGCCUGCAAUGCAGGAGACCUGGGAUCAAUCCCUGGGUGGGGAA
rfam:TPA: Bos taurus chromosome 24, whole genome shotgun sequence.